AAUUCUCAACCAUUUCAACUUGUUUAUUAUGAGUUGGAUGGCUUGGAAUAUUGGGAGUUCGUGCAGGCUUGAGCCAGCUCUCCUUAAAUACAUUAGCAGAGUCUUUCUAAAGCCAGCUUUUGGUGUGAUAAUUUAUCUACGCCGCUGUCUGGAAAAACUAAAGGGAUUCAGCUAUCUAAAGCCCCUUACUUUUGAAAC
rnacentral:misc_RNA from 1 species